rnacentral:rRNA from 1 species
UACGGGGGGUGCAAGCGUUGCUCGGAAUCACUGGGCGUAAAGCGUCCGCAGGCGGCUUGAUAAGUCGGGUGUGAAAGCCCGGGGCUCAACCCCGGAACUGCAUUCGAAACUGUCUGGCUUGAGUACGGGAGAGGGUCGUGGAAUUCCUGGUGUAGAGGUGAAAUUCGUAGAUAUCAGGAGGAACACCGGUGGCGAAAGCGGCGACCUGGCCCGAUACUGACGCUCAUGGACGAAAGCGUGGGGAGCAAACAGGAUUAGAUACCCUGGUAGUCCACGCCGUAAACGAUGGAUGCUAGCUGGUGGGUCUUCUACCGACUCAUCGGCGUCGCUAACGCAUUAAGCAUCCCGCCUGGGGAGUACGGCCGCAAGGCUAAA